GGUAAGAUGGCCGAGCGCCUUAGGCGGUGGGUUGUAGCCCCAUAGACAGAGGUUUAACUCCUCUUCUUAUCA
rnacentral:tRNA from 1 species